rnacentral:rRNA from 1 species
GUACAAGUCUCCUGGAAGGGAGCAUCGUAGAGGGUGACAAUCCCGUCUCUGACACGGACCGCCGGCGCUAUGUGAUGCGCUCUCGACGAGUCGAGUUGUUUGGGAAUGCAGCUCAAAUAGGGUGGUAAACUCCAUCUAAAGCUAAAUACGGGCGAGAGACCGAUAGCGAACAAGUACCGUGAGGGAAAGAUGAAAAGAACUUUGGAAAGAGAGUUAAACAGUACGUGAAAUUGCUGGAAGGGAAACGCUUGACGUCAGUCGCGUCGUCCGGGGAUCAACCUUGCCCUCUGGCUGGGCGUAUUUCCCGGUCGACGGGUCAGCAUCGAUUUCGACCGUCGUAGAAGGACUGGAGCGAAUGUGGCACUCCACGGAGUGUGUUAUAGCCUCCCGUAUGGAUGCGACGGUCGGGAUCGAGGAACUCGGCACGGCCCCUCGAGGGUUCGGGGCUUCGGUCCACGCAGCGUGCCCAGGAUGCUGGCAUAAUGGCUUUAAGCGACCCGUCUUGAAACACGGACCAAGGAGUCUAACGUGCCUGCGAGUGUUUGGGUGCAAAACCCGAGCGCGAAACGAAAGUGAAAGUCGAGACCUCCGUCGCGGAGGGCACCGACGCCCGGACCGGAGCCUUUGGCGAUGGAUCUGCGGUAGAGCAUGUAUGUUGGGACCCGAAAGAUGGUGA